AGAGUUGUAGCUUAGUAGCAGAGCAUCUGCUUUUCACACAGAAGCUCCCAAGUUUGAUCCCUGGUAUCUCUU